UACGGGGGGAGCAAGCGUUGUUCGGAUUUACUGGGCGUAAAGGGCGCGUAGGCGGUCAGCACAGGUCAGUUGUGAAAUCUCGGGGCUUAACCCGGAAAGGUCAACUGAUACUGUGCGACUAGAGUGCGGAAGGGGCAACUGGAAUUCUCGGUGUAGCGGUGAAAUGCGUAGAUAUCGAGAGGAACACCAGCGGCGAAGGCGGGUUGCUGGGCAGACACUGACGCUGAUGCGCGAAAGCCAGGGGAGCGAACGGG
rnacentral:rRNA from 1 species